GCCUAUGGCCAUACCACCCUGAACAUGGCCGAUCUCGGCUGAUCUCAGAAGCUAAGCAGGGUUGGGCCUGGUUAGUACUUGGAUGGGAGAAUAUUCAUCAAAGAAUAUUCAAAGACAUAUUAA
rnacentral:rRNA from 1 species